rnacentral:rRNA from 1 species
AACGAACGCUGGCGGCAUGCCUAACACAUGCAAGUCGAACGAGACCUUCGGGUCUAGUGGCGCACGGGUGCGUAACGCGUGGGAACCUGCCCUUAGGUUCGGAAUAACUCCCCGAAAGGGGUGCUAAUACCAGAUAAUGUCUUCGGACCAAAGAUUUAUCGCCUUUGGAUGGGCCCGCGUUGGAUUAGCUAAUUGGUAGGGUAAAAGCCUACCAAGGCGACGAUCCAUAGCUGGUCUGAGAGGAUGAUCAGCCACACUGGGACUGAGACACGGCCCAGACUCCUACGGGAGGCAGCAGUGGGGAAUAUUGGACAAUGGGCGAAAGCCUGAUCCAGCAAUGCCGCGUGAGUGAUGAAGGCCUUAGGGUUGUAAAGCUCUUUUACCCGGGAUGAUAAUGACAGUACCGGGAGAAUAAGCUCCGGCUAACUCCGUG